rnacentral:lncRNA from 1 species
CAAACUCAAAGUCAUCAAUCUCACUCUCCCUGGAGGAAAACACCUCUAUUUCUUCAAUCAGCAUAACUAUCAUCUCAUAGAUCUCCUCAGCCUGAGGGUGAGACCUAUCCUCUGCAUUGAAUGAGUGCACCUUGCUCUUGACCUCAAUCCAACUCCAACCAGGCACCUUACUCAAACCUCUGUUCCUCAUCUCCCUCUGAAGAAGUGCCCUAUCAUUCCACAUCCCAAACCCAGAAUACAUGCAAGAGAGAAGCACAUAUGUGGAGUGCUCUCUAGGCUCUGCUUCUAGCAAAUGCUUGGCCACUUCGCUCGCCAACUCCAUAUUUCCGUGGAUUCUGCAUGCCCCUAAGAGCGUCAUCCACACCGUCGCAUCCGGUUUGAAGGGCAUCGAAUCGAUUAGCUCUUUCGCCUCGUCGAGCCGCCCGGCUCGACCGAAGAGAUCGACUCCACAUGCGUAAUGCUCCAUUCGGAUCGCAACUCCAUAUUUUGAUUCCAUUGUCUUUAGAAAAUUGAAUCCUUCUUCUACUAGGCCUAUAUGACUACACGCGGAAAUUAGACCGACAAAAGUAAUGUGAUCUGGUGGGACUUUCCUUUCUUGCAUCUUCGUGAACAGAUCGAGCGCAAUUCGUGCCUGUCCAUGUUGCGCGUACCCGAAUAUGAUUGAAUUCCAUGACACCGAGCUACAUUUGUCGGAUUCGUGAAAGGAACUUCUAGCGUCAUCAAUCACGCCACAUUUAGAGUACAUGAAAAUCAACGAGCUUGCCACAAAAUCGUUGGAAGCAAAACCUGUUCUGAGGACUAAUCCAUGGAUUUGCUGACCCAGUUGAAGGAUGGCCAGAUCCGAACAAGAGCGGAGCACUGCAGAAAAUGCAUAAUGAUCGAUCUUGAACUCGACGGAUCGCAUGUGGCCGAAGAACCUCAACGCCUCCGUGCUCAGACCAUUUUGCGAGAGACCAGUUAGAAUCGAAUUCCAUGUCACACUGUCUCUAAAUUCCAUUGAAUCAAAGCAUUUGACAGCAUCCUCCAUCAUACCAUUCUCGCUCGUCCUAAUGUACAUCGCGAUUAGUGCAUUAAAAACCGGCGUUUCCCCAUCUAAUCCCCUCUUAGUCACUAAGCCAUGCAAGAUCCUUCCUUGGUUAUGAUGCCCAUGAUCGGUGCAAGAACUAAUCACGCUGGUGAAAGUAUACAUAUCUUGAUUGAUCCCAAACUCUUGCAUUUUAACAAAUAGCUCCAUAGCGCAAUCCGUUAGGCCGUGGCAAGCAUAAGCUGCGAGCAUCGAAUUCCACGUGAUCAAAUCCCUAUUAUCCUCCAUCUUAUCGAAAACCUUAAUUGAAUCCCCGAUCAACCCACACUGCGAAUAAGCUGUAAUUGCUGCAUUGCACACAACAGAAUCCUUCGCCUGUCCGUACUUUACAAUCUUACCGUGCAACUGGCACAUCAACCGAUGGUAAGCAAUUCCGUCGACCAAAGUCAACAGGCUAGCAAACGUAGCCUCAUCGGGCACCGAACUCGCCCUCUCCAUCCUACCGAACAACCGAAAGGCGGCAUCAACCUCACCUGCCUCGGCGUACCCGGCGAGUAACGCAUUCCACGAGACCGCAUUCCUCUCGGGCAUAGCUUCGAACACGCGAGACGCGUCGCGGAGACUCGCACACUUUGCGUACAUGCCGACCAACGCGCUCGCGGAAAAGACGUUGCGGUCGAGGCCUGAUUUCAAUACUAGGGAGUGCAAUUGGCGGCCGAAUUGUAGGCGGGCUGAGCGGGCGACCGCUUUGAGGACGCUCCCCAGCGUGUAGUGGUCGAAGGGGAGGCCGAGGGCCCUCAUGGCGCGGAAGAGGUCCCAUGAGAGGGCGUUGGAGGAGGAGGAGGAGGAGGAGGAGGAGGAGGUCGGGGAGGAGGCGUGGGCGGCGAUGAGAGCGUUCCAGGAGACGGAGUCUCGUUGGGGAAUUUCGUCGAACAGGUCGCGGGCGCGGGCGAGGCCGGCGGAGCGGGAGUAGGCGGUCAGGACGGCGUUCCACGCGUGGGUGUCGGAGGCGGCGCCGGAUUUGAUCAGGCGCGCGUGGGUCUUCGCGGCGGACAGGAGGGGCGCGGCCGAGAGGGGCGGAGGCGCGCGCAUGUGCGUGGCCACGAAGAGUUAUACAUAUAUGUUUUAUAUAUGUUUGGACCGUGCAGUGUGUCUGCUGUAGUUUCGCGCUUGUAGAUUAGAUACAAAAUCACUCGCACGUCUUUAAAUGAUACAGUGGUACACUUCUUAUUUUCCCUCCACAUUCUGUUUUGACUUCUAUUAAACGUGCAGGCGCAACUAAAUAGUCUUAGGCUUCAUUUGGGACUGCGGAAAGAUUGCGUUAAAUACAUUGAAAAAAUAUAUUGCCUUCCGCAUAUUUUUUUUUCUUUCGUAAUUUUGCCUUCCGCAUAUCGCGAUGAGUCGGUUACAAUAUAUUUUCUACUGUCUCACCGAAGAAGUAUAUUUCUAUAUAUUUUUUUCUCAACUCUAUUUUAUCUAGCUAAUAGCAUUAGAUAGACCUUAAUACCACAUUAAAGUUUUUAAAUAAAUUGUGCACCACUGGUUACUAAAUUUUUUUGUCAGGUUUCAUCUUAGUUCUUGAAUCAUAAAUUUUUUUGUUAACAUUCAAUAAGGUUUCAAUUUAGUUACAAUAAAAACAUAGACCUUACCUAAAUUUUAACCUAUUCUAUCUUGCAAAUUUUAAUUGCAGUACUCAAUCAUUUAAUUUAUUUGAUUUAAGUCAUUUGGUGACUUUCUUGUAUAAAAUUUAAGCUUAUUAUUUUUUUAAUAAAUUUUAGUUAUAUUACUUGCAUAAAAUGUUAGCUUGUGAAAAUAAAUAAUGCAUUCCAAUUUUUAAGUUAAAAAGUUAUUAACUAUCUCAAAUCAAAUAAAUCAAAAAUUUUCGUAGCUAGUUUAAAAUUUUAAAUGUUAUGUAGUCAAAUCGAAUUGGGUAAUAAUUGAUUUAUGUUUUGUACAUUUCUACCUUUAAGUUAAUAAGCUUUCAAACUCAUAUUUUUCAUUCAAUGAUUUAAUUUGUAUACAGAGAAAAGCUUUAACACAACGAGCGGCAAAGUUGAGAUGGCUAACCAUUUUUAUUUUGAUCACGGAGGGACCAAUCGCGAGGCCUCUGGUUCCGAAUUCAAAACACAGCUUGUGCCAAAAAAAAAAAAAAGAGGUUUUCUUGCCUCCCGUGUCGGGUUUGUUUUGGACGGAUUUAUGUUUGAUCUAGAUUUUAAAAAAGUAAUUUUUUACAAAAUUAAUUUUUGUUAAAAACUGUAGAGCGUUUAACUGAGUCUAGCAAGAACAUAAAUUUUUUGACGUGAAUUCCAAAAUUAUUUGGCAAAAUAUUUUAUUGUUUGUGUAAUGUUUCGAAAACUUAGCUGUAAUGAUGACUAUAGUAUCAGUAGCUGGUCGAUGCAGCUAUAAAAUGUUGGGUUGAGCCGGAAUCGUUUUGGCGCCAAAUUGACACAAAAAUAGAUUUAGCUUAGAGGUAUAGAGAUGAAAAGAUCAAGUGUAUUAUGUAAUUAUAAAUAAAGUUGUAAUAACUUAGAUUGUAUUUGAAAGCAAAAUGUAUUAUGUAGUUGAGUUGUAAAAGUUGAAUAUAAGCCGGUGAAUGCUUGUAAUAGUUUAGCUGGUUAUGUUUUUGAUACUGGCUUAUGCAAUCUGUAUGUUGAUUAUUGUUCCUGAUUGGAACCUUCGUCUUGUAUUGAUUACGACGCCUAGGACGUACAGAAAAAACUCUGUCCGUUCGGCGCUGUCGGCGGCGCUGUCGGCGGCGCCGCAACCUCGGCCAAAUAGGCGGGUGUGGAGCAUUGAAAUUCGGGCGCCCAAAGAUGGAACCGGGUUGUUAUAGCAGCCCAAAAGUGAGCUGGUGAGUCCUCUCCAGUGUAUCGAACAAUGUUGAUAAAUGUAAAGUGACUUUGACUAGAAUCGGGCGCACGUUUGGAUUUCGGAUUCUCAUUGCGGGUGCCCACUUGGGUUCUGAAUGCAGACUUGGGCCAAUUCGAACGCCCAAAACUUGAGAUUUUUGCUGGGCACAGGUUUAACCUCUUUAAUCCGGGGACUCUCUCAUUCUAUUCAUCCGAUUCCUCUAUAAAUAGCUCCCCUACGUCCCCAGCUCACUCUUUUCACUCCUAUUCACUAGGGAGCUCCAUUUCCACAUCUUUUUCACCUUCAAUCUCCUCCCCCUUCCCCACAUUUUUUCUCCCUCCGGGCUAGCAGUAGAGACACUAGUAGGAGUCUAGCAUUUCAGAUUGCCAACUGUGGGACUGGUUCUAGGUCGUGGCGGAGCUAAAGGAGGUGAGCUUGUGGAUCAAUUUCAUUCAGCCAAUUUCAAGUUAUUUUGAGUGGAUUUGAGAUCAUUUAGAUAAUUGAGCUGAAAUAGAAAUCUUAGUCGAUCAUUGUUAAAUUUCUUCCUUUGAUAUUCCUCUAGCAGUACAGUGGCUAGGCUUCUCGUGGAAUUGUUGUCACUUCCCAUUGAUUUGGAGCUACACCUAGUCGGAUUGAGAGAUAGAUUGACUGUAAUUGAAUCUUAAACCCGAAAUUUUCACUGAAAUGAGUUUCUGUUAGAAUUUUGAUUCUAAUUUUUUAUUCCAACAUCAUCCUGAGUAGGAGUGAAAUUUUCUUUAUUUUCCCUUCUUGAAUUGUAGCUGAGGAGCUUGUGAGGCAUCUUAUUUGUCGAUAAAAAAAAAAUAAUGUUCACGAGCGAAGAAGGUAAAUUCCAAUCCUAACUCUCUUAUUCAUAUAUGUUCGCAUGCUCCCUUGUGAACUGUGCCAGUUGAGGGCCGCCUCCGCUUUGGUGGCAAGCCCACACUGGCUUGUGGAGCCUGCCGGCGCUGGGCUUGUAGGGCUUUCCCGUGCCGGACCUGUGGGCUUGCGGAGCCGCCUGCGCUGGGCUUGAAAGCCCAAGCCCAACUCGUGGGCUUACAGGUUCAAUUUAAAAUAAAAAAACAAAGGGUGAGACAUUUACAGAGCCACUUCAACAAACUUUUGUUUUGAUAUAAAUUAAUGCAAAUUUAUUUAUAUUGUUAUUUCGAUACACGUUAUGUUAUGAUUGUUUCACGAAUUGCAUAUUAUUAAUUAAUUUGUGACGUAGAUUUAUUCUUAAUCAAUUUGAUAUAUAAUUUUAAUCUACAUUAGAUAAGAUGAUUAUUAGUCUUUUUUAAAGACCAAAUUUUCGAUUUGAAGAUGCAGUGAGAAAUUUUAUCAGCAGAUUGGAUUGAGAAUAUAAUUGUGGAUAUUUGUACCUAAAUUAAAAUUAUGUGCAUUAUUAUUGUGAUAUAUGGCUUCAAAAAGUUUUUCCAUCGCGGAUUUGUUAAAUCAAGAUAGGCUUGAUGGAACGAAUUAUGACAUGUGGCAUAGAAAAAUUCAAUAUCUUCUUAAUGAGAAACGAGUUCUUGGUCAUUUAAUCAACAGUAUGGUUCGCCCUGAAGAAAGCACGACGGCUCAGCACCAUCGUAAUUUGCAAGCCUAUAAUGAAUGGCUUGAAAAAGAUCAAAGUGCAUGACGGCUCAGCACCAUCGGCCUGAAGAAGGCACGACGACUCAGCACAAUCGUAAUUUGCAAGCCUAUAAUGAAUGGCUUGAAAAAGAUCGAAGUGCAUGUUAUACGAUGUUGAGUUGUAUGCACGAUGCUUGAUCAAGAAAUUUGAAAAUUAUGAGAUUGCUAAAAAUAUAUGAGAGCAGCUCAAAAUGAAAUAUAAUAACACGUCGACCACAAGGCUUCAUGCCUUAAAUCUCAAAUUCAAUCAAUAUAUGUUGGAUCUGAAGCAUUCUAUGGCAGAACACUUAAGGGUGAUAUCUGGUAUGAUAAGAGAACUUAAAGCACAUGGUUGUGAGCUAACUGAUGAACAACAGGUUCAGUCAGUUAUAAGAUCCUUGGUGGAUUCAUAUUGGAAUCAAGUCAAGAUUAUGCUAACUCAUAAUGAGGGUAUUAAAACCUUUGACGAUAUAGCUCGACAUCUUGAGUUGGAAGUAAAGCGCAGAGAGGCGAACCGUAUUAAUAGACUCGUUACCCACGGUGGACAGCGCAGAAGCAAGUGGCCUAAGCGUAAGCAUCGAAAUGGUGAAAAUAAAUAUGGAAAGACUGAGAAUCGCGCGCCCAAUGAGAACGGAAUAGAUAAGCGCCGUAAAGACAGACGCGCAAAGAAAAACUUAAAUAAAGUGAAAUGGUAUAAUUGUGAAAAUAUGGGACACUUCGCUCGUGAUUGCACUGAGCCGAAAAAAGAAAAUCUCAAUCCCGACUCUCUUAUUCAUAUAUGUUCACAUGUUUUUGUUGCUCACGCUCUCUAUAAUUGGAUUGUAGACACAUGAGCAACAAAGUAUGUAACAAGAGAUCGAACAAGAUAUGUAGAUUAUCGUCAGUUGUCUGCUGACAGCCAUUAUGUCAUGGUAGGAAAUGGCACUAAGAAAGAAGUUCUUGGUAUUGGUGCAUACCAACUUGAUUGCGCAAUGGUCGUUAUUUGAUAUUACAUGAUGCGCUGUAUGCACCGAACAUCCGAUGUAAUCUAUUGUCAGUUUUAGCGUUACUUAGAUUAGAUUUUUCAUUUCAAUUUACAGAUAUCCAAUUACUUUCUUAGAUUAGGUUUUAGCGUUACUUUCUUAGGGAAUUUCGUAGGCUUAUCAUGUCAAGAGUGUCGGAUCGUUGAAAUUAACCAUUAUUCCAAACGCACUAGUUAUUAAAAAUACACAAUAAAUUUACUUAAAAGCGUACAUACAUAAUGCCCACAAAUCUUGAUUAUGACUCGGUCCAACUAGCCUCACACCACUUUCGAAUAUGACUCGGUCCAACUAGCCUCACACCACUUUCGAAUAUGACUCGACCCAACCAGCUUCCUGUCAUUUCGAACGUGACUUGGUCUAAUCUGACCUCCCGCCAAUGCUGGCCCAUUUGAGCCAACAAUGGAUUAUACUCUAGGACAACGUUUGGUUAGGGGAUAGAAAUAGGAAUAGGCCCUUAUCCCUCCUUUAUAUCCAAACGCUAAUUUUUUAUCCAAGAAUAGUAGUAUUCGGUUAUUCUCACCAACACCUCCAUUUUCUAUAUAAAACUAUCUAAAUUUGUUCUUAUCCUCGGGAACAACCCAAUUUUCAUCCAAACACUAUUUUUCUUAUCCCCAUAUUUGUACCUAUUCCUGUAAUAGCUAGUUCUUGCUUAUAUCCGAACCAAACGGUACCUAGAUGUUCUUUUCUGAUUUCAUUUCCAUUUGCUCUCGCUUCUUCCAAAUCAAACAAACUAAAAUAGUCACAUCAAGUUAAGGCUCAACUAGCCAGCAGAGUGGCAGUAGUCCACCCCCUCCUUUGAUCAGCGGCAACAAUUGCCGGGUCGCGGAGCAACGACGAAGGGCCGGGGAGCAAGUGCCCAGUAACAAAGGUCAAAAGAAAUAAAAGAAUCAAAACUUAUCUAAAUUAUCGAUCAUUUUAAAUCAAUUAUCUAAUCUUUAAAAUUAUAAUUUUAUUAUCUAAUUUUUUAAUUGAUUUAAUUUGAGUCAGUCAAGAAUACUUUAACUUUAAAUUUAAGCUAAUUAUUUAUUUUAAUAAAUUUAUAAUUACGAAAAUUAUAUAGUUUUAAUAACUAAACUUGUAAAUUAAGAUAAACUAUGUAUUUAAAUUUUAAAGUUAAAAUAUUAUUGACGGACUCAAAUCAAAUAAAUUAAAAGGUUGGAUAGUAAACUAUAAUUUUGAAAGAUUUGAUAGUUGAUUCAAAAUGAUUUGUUGUUCAAAUAAGUUCUGCAUAAUUUUACGGGAAAAAAACAACAAGGAUAGUGAAGUCAGAAGAUGAAGAAAAUUGAGAUGAGUGCAUGACCUAUAAUUGAUAGGGUUAAUUCAUAAAAAAAUAUCAAAUAACAAACAAAUCCUUAUAAAAUUAAAUAAUCAAAUUUAUUCCUUCAAAGAUUCUCUGGUUUGUAAAUAUCUCCAAUAGUUCUGGCUCGUUUAUAUAUGUCCCUGCCAUUUGAUUCAUCAUUAGUUUUUUAACCGUGUGUGUGUAAAAUAACUAUUUUAUCCUUACAAAUUUAUCUCUAUACAAAAUUUUCUUUCUUUCUUUCUCUCUCCUCACCUUCGUCGCAGAAUGUACGGUAUACCCUAUUUUUGUUGUGACCAACAGCCUCGCGUUUGACACCGCCAUCGUCGUAGGUCUCGCCAUCGCCAUUGAUAAAGAAAAUAUGAUGAGAAAAAUAACAUCACUCAAUAUUAAAAUACAAAUUAUAUAUAUAUAUAUAUAUAUAUGAAAUAAAAAGGCCAUUUUAUUUCUUAAUUAACUGUGGUUAGUUUUUUCUUUAACUUAUAGCUAUUUAAAUUUUGGUAACAGAAUUAUAUAUUUGCAGAUUGAAGGAUAUUUGAAUGGAUAAAUAUAAUAACUUAAAUUUUAUAAAAAUAUAUUUACUAUUUAAUAUUUUUAUAAAGGGCUUUUUUUGCAUUUAGACCCCUGACAAAUUUUUACUUUAAAAAUAGCCCUGUCAAAAUUUAAUUUGCAAAAAUGGUCCUGGGCCUGCCAUGCAGGCGCCACGUCAGCGCCACGCGGGCAGACUGGGCCGGUGUGUUUAAGUUGAACACGGUGAACCAUUCACCAUGUUCAAACACGGUGAAUGUUCACCGUGUUUAGUAGUCGGUAUUUUUUGAUACGUAUUUUUUGUAUAUUGAAAAGUGGAAUAAGGAUAGGGAUGUCAAUUGAAAAGUAGAAUAAGGAGUAGGGAUGUCAAUAGGUAUGAUAUCCGAAAUAUUAUCCGAAUUCAAACCGAAUAAAUUAUAUAUAUAUACGUAAUUUAUUUUUAUUUAUUUAUACAAUAUAUAAAAUAAUUUAUAAUUUUAUUCCUUAGAUCUUCAUCCAACCCACGCUGGUGUGGAUGAAGAUCUAAGGAAUAAAAAUUAUUAAAUAUUUUAUAUAUUGUAUAAAUAAAUAAAAAUAAAUUACGUAUAUAUAUAUAAUUUAUUCGGGUUUGGAUUCGGAUAAUAUUUCGGGUAUCAUACCUAUUGACAUCCCCACUCCUUAUUCCACUUUUCAAUAUACAAAAAAUACGUAAGAAAUACGGUGAACCAUUCACCGUAUUUAGAUACGGUGAAUGAUUCAUUGUGUUCAACUUAAUACCCUGGCCCAAGCCCUGCCCGCGUGGUGCUGACGUGGCGCCUGCGUGGCAGGGACAGAGCCAUUUUUACAAUUUUAAUUUUUAUAGGACUAUUUUUAAAAUAAAAAUUUCUCGGGGGACUAUUUAUAAAAAAAACCCUUUUAUAAAGAGCGAUAUGCAACUAUUUCUAUUUAAUAAUAAUAAUAAUGAACUCACAAGCAAGAAGGCCAAAAUUUUCCUCAUGCGAGCAAAUUCAGUACCGCCCUGAGAGAGCAUCGUCACGAGUUGACUCCGUACACAAAUUAAUUUAAUAAUAACUAGUGAGAGAGUGAGAUAUUCCGUGCAUUCGACUAGGGGUGGAAACGAGCCGAGCUCGAGCGAGCUUAUGUCAGCUCAAAUUCGGCUUGAAAUUAAUUUCGAGUCUAAAUCUAGGCUCAAGCUCGGCUUGAAAUUAAUUCGAGCCGAGCUCGAGCGAGCCUAAUUUCGAGUCGAGCCGAGCUCGAGCUCUAAACGAGCCGAUUGAAAUUCUCGACAUUAUAUAAUCAAUAGUUUAAUUUUUAUAGAACAUUACCUAUAAUUUGAUGCAACAUGUUCAAUAGUUCAAAAUACAAAAUAAUUGUAAGAAAUGUGAGCUAGGGUGACUGCCUGACUAGGUGAGGAUUAGAGAGAGAGAGAGAGAGAGAGGGAAAAAAAUUAGGGAUUUGGGAAUUUGAAUGUUAUCAUGUUUUAGGGUUAUGUGCAACAGUGAAAGUCUGAAAGAGAGAGUGUGUUAUGUAAAUUUAGAGUUGGGCUCAAUUGCACGGUUGUACUUGUUGGGUUUAUUUUAUGGGCCAACAAUAAUGGCCCAAAUUAAAUUAAAGCCUAUAUAUAAUUAAAAUACAUUAUAUUUAUAAAUACUAUUAUUAUUAUAUUUAUAUAUAUAUAUAUAUAUAGAAUUAGGCUGGAAUACUAUUAAUAGUAAAACGCUCUUUUUGCUAUCAAGUUUUUAACCCUUGGAUGAAAAAUUGUAGGGUCAGAAUGAUAUUAGUCGGUUAGAGUUGAAUGGUCCUCCUAGGGUUGAGUGGUCCCCACUGGGUUAUAGUAUUUAAUCCAAUAGUUAGAAAUAAUGAAAAGAGUUGAUCCAAAGGCUAAAAAACUGGUAGCAACAAUGGAAUUUUGCUACUAAUAGUAGCCCAGUCCAACUAUAUAUAUAUAUAUUCGAGCUUUUCGAGCUUUUCGAGCCUAAUUCGAACGAGCCAAGUAAUACUCAAGCUCGGCUUGAAAUGAAUUUCGAGCCUUUUAUUUUGUUCAAGUUCGGCUCAUUUAAUUUCGAGUCGAGCUCGAGCGAGCCGAAUAUCGAGCCGAACACGAGUCGAACGCGAGCCGGCUCGCUCGUUUGCCAGCCCUA